UAACACGUAGGGGGCAAGCGUUGUCCGGAUUUAUUGGGCGUAAAGAGCUCGUAGGCGGUUCGGUAAGUCGGGUGUGAAACCUCCAGGCUCAACCUGGAGACGCCACCCGAUACUGCUGUGACUAGAGUCCGGUAGGGGAGCGUGGAAUUCCUGGUGUAGCGGUGAAAUGCGCAGAUAUCAGGAGGAACA
rnacentral:rRNA from 1 species